rnacentral:tmRNA from 1 species
CCCCUUGCGAAGGGCGCCGCGGCCCCUUAUCUUCGGGGUGUUCCCGCAAGGGAACUAUGGGCAUAAACGCGCACGUAAUAAGCGGACUGGACCCGGGGGCGGUACCCGGCGGCUCCACCAAAUAUCCGGUCGUUGGCGGAUCAUGGGGCCGAAACAGGAUCGACAGACGUGUAAAGGUGUAGCUUUGUCCCGGUGAGGUACCACCGUUAUCGGUCCGAAACAGCAUAAUUGCCAACGACAAUCGUGCUCCGGUUGCGGUUGCCGCUUAAGCGGUAACCAAGACCGAAAUCUGAAGUCCUUGCCUCUAGCAAGGUAAGGCGGGGUUCGCAGGCACCUGGCAACAGAAGCCUGCACU